ensembl:lncRNA
CAAAUAUUGUCCUCCUAACAAACCAUACAUCAAUGGAGAGAUUAAUUAUUCAGCUUUCAGAUGAUGUAUAAAUCUCAAUUUUGAAAAAUGUACCUUUAUAUAUGAGUAAUUGGAUUACUUGUUUAUCCAACUUUAUAUAAAGAGCUGGCCGAUAAUACAAUUACAUUUUGUUAAAAAUGUAAAAAAUCCGUCCGUAUUUGUUUUUGAGGGUUCAUUUGUGCUGUAUGUGAGCUGCAGAUGCGUCUGGUGUUUCUGUGGAGGGUUUGAGACGAGCCCGAUGAUAAAGACUGACCCCAGAUCAGAGGCGCUGUGUUUCUGUGUGUUGUGUAAGAUAGAGAGAGAGAAGAGACUCCAGCUUCACUCCUCCCACACAGGAGCAUCACGGACUGACACGCACCGAUAUAUAUAGAGCGCAAACUUUUAUUCUUUCACAUGUGGGUGUUCUCUGUGUGUGUGUCCUUGACUGACUAAGUGACUGACAAAUGCUUUGAAAGCCUUGAUGAUUCUGCGUUGAGUCUGAAAACAUCUUCAUCAGGGCCAGAAACAAAUCCAGCCUGAGAGAAAUCAGUACAAACGAGAGAGAAGCACAGCUGUGUUUGAUUUGGGUUCUCUGUGUUGUGGCCGGUUGCCAGGGUGGAGCAGGGUAGUUGCUAGGGUGUUUUUGAGUGGUAGUCAGUGCAUUUGGUAAAUGGUUGCUCGGGUGUUCUGAGUGGUUGUUCGUGUAGUGUUAUAUGGUUGCUAGGGUGUUCUGAGUGGUUGUUAGUGUAGUGUUAUGGUUGCUAAGGUGUUCUGAGUGGUUGUUAAUGUGUUGCUGUAUAGUUGCUAAGUGGUUGCUAGGGUGUUCUGAGUGGUUGUUAGUGUAGUGUUAUAUGGUUGCUAGGGUGUUCUGAGUGGUUGUCAGUGAUUUGCUAAUUGGUUGCUAAGGUGUUCUGAGUGGUUGCUAAUGCAUUGCUAUACAGUUCCUAGGUGGUUGCUAGGGUGUUCUGAGUGGUUGUUAGUGUAGUGUUAUAUGGUUGUUGGGUGGUUGCUAAGGUGUUUUAAUAUACAGGAUGAGUUCAGUCCUGAAAUUUGGCAUUUAGUUUGCAUUAGUAACCCUAAACAUGAGCUAUAACCACU